AACUUUUGGCAACGGAUCACUUGGCUCUAGCAUCAAUGAAGAACGCAGCGAAAUGCGAUAAGUAAUGCGAAUUGCAGAAUUCAGUGAAUCAUCGAGUUUUUGAACGCACAUUGCGCCCGCCAGCAUCCUGGCGGGCAUGCCUGUUCGAGCGUCAUUUCCACCCUCAGGCUCUGCCUGGUGUUGGGGGCCUGCACCCGCAGCCCCUCAAAGACAGCGGCGGUCCCGGCCCCGGCCCCGAGCGUAGUAAUACACGUCGCUCCGGGCGCCGGGCGGGCCCCAGCCGUAAGCCUUUAUUUUUAACAGGUUGACCUCGGAUCAGGUAGGAAUACCCGCUGAACUUAAGCAUAUCAAUAAGCGGAGGCU
rnacentral:misc_RNA from 1 species